rnacentral:rRNA from 1 species
AUACGUAGGGAGCGAGCGUUGUCCGGAAUUACUGGGUGUAAAGGGAGCGUAGGCGGGAGUGCAAGUCAGAUGUGAAAUACAUGGGCUCAACCCAUGGGCUGCAUUUGAAACUGCAUUUCUUGAGUGAAGUAGAGGUAAGCGGAAUUCCUGGUGUAGCGGUGAAAUGCGUAGAUAUCAGGAGGAACACCGGUGGCGAAGGCGGCUUACUGGGCUUUUACUGACGCUGAGGCUCGAAAGCGUGGGGAGCAAACAGGAUUAGAUACCCUGGUAGUCCACGCUGUAAACGAUGAUUACUAGGUGUGGGGGGACUGACCCCUUCCGUGCCGCAGUUAACACAAUAAGUAAUCCACCUGGGGAGUACGGCCGCAAGGUUGGAACUCAAAGGAAUUGACGGG